AUUGAACGCUGGCGGCAGGCCUAACACAUGCAAGUCGAGCGGAUGAAGGGAGCUUGCUCCUGGAUUCAGCGGCGGACGGGUGAGUAAUGCCUAGGAAUCUGCCUGGUAGUGGGGGAUAACGUCCGGAAACGGGCGCUAAUACCACAUACGUCCUGAGGGAGAAAGUGGGGGAUCUUCGGACCUCACGCUAUCAGAUGAGCCUAGGUCGGAUUAGCUAGUUGGUGGGGUAAAGGCCUACCAAGGCGACGAUCCGUAACUGGUCUGAGAGGAUGAUCAGUCACACUGGAACUGAGACACGGUCCAGACUCCUACGGGAGGCAGCAGUGGGGAAUAUUGGACAAAGGGCGAAAGCCUGAUCCAGCCAUGCCGCGUGUGUGAAGAAGGUCUUCGGAUUGUAAAGCACUUUAAGUUGGGAGGAAGGGCAGUAAGUUAAUACCUUGCUGUUUUGACGUUACCAACAGAAUAAGCACCGGCUAACUUCGUG
rnacentral:rRNA from 1 species